rnacentral:rRNA from 1 species
AGCAGCCGCGGUAAUUCCAGCUCCAAUAGCGUAUAUUAAAGUUGUUGCAGUUAAAAAGCUCGUAGUUGAAUUUCGGAGUUCUACCGUCGGUCGGGCUACCAAGUCUGUACUGGUGUGUAGAAUUCCUACCUUCUGGGGAACCAUCAUGUUAUUAAUUUAGCGUGGUGGGAAACCAGAACUUUUACCUUGAAAAAAUUAGAGUGUUCAAAGCAGGCUUAUGUCUGAAUACAUUAGCAUGGAAUAAUAGAAUAGGACGGUGGUCCUGUUUUGUUGGUUUCUGAAUCACCGUAAUGAUUAAUAGGGAUAGUUGGGGGCAUUAGUAUUCAAUUGUCAGAGGUGAAAUUCUUGGAUUUAUUGAAGACUAACUUCUGCGAAAGCAUUUGCCAAGGAUGUUUUCAUUAAUCAAGAACGAAAGUUAGGGGAUCGAAGACGAUCAGAUACCGUCGUAGUCUUAACCAUAAACUAUGCCGACUAGGGAUCGGACGAUGUUAAAUUUUAUUGACUCGUUCGGCGCCUUACG